rnacentral:rRNA from 1 species
AUUGAACGCUGGCGGCAGGCCUAACACAUGCAAGUCGAACGGUAACAGGAAGCAGCUUGCUGCUUCGCUGACGAGUGGCGGACGGGUGAGUAAUGUCUGGGAAACUGCCUGAUGGAGGGGGAUAACUACUGGAAACGGUAGCUAAUACCGCAUAACGUCGCAAGACCAAAGAGGGGGACCUUAGGGCCUCUUGCCAUCGGAUGUGCCCAGAUGGGAUUAGCUAGUAGGUGGGGUAACGGCUCACCUAGGCGACGAUCCCUAGCUGGUCUGAGAGGAUGACCAGCCACACUGGAACUGAGACACGGUCCAGACUCCUACGGGAGGCAGCAGUGGGGAAUAUUGCACAAUGGGCGCAAGCCUGAUGCAGCCAUGCCGCGUGUAUGAAGAAGGCCUUCGGGUUGUAAAGUACUUUCAGCAGGGAGGAAGGGAGUAAAGUUAAUACCUUUGCUCAUUGACGUUACCCGCAGAAGAAGCACCGGCUAACUCCGUG